rnacentral:rRNA from 1 species
UGGCGGCAGGCCUAACACAUGCAAGUCGAGCGGAAACGAGUUGUCUGAACCUUCGGGGAACGAUAAUGGCGUCGAGCGGCGGACGGGUGAGUAAUGCCUAGGAAAUUGCCCUGAUGUGGGGGAUAACCAUUGGAAACGAUGGCUAAUACCGCAUGAUACCUACGGGUCAAAGAGGGGGACCUUCGGGCCUCUCGCGUCAGGAUAUGCCUAGG